rfam:Agrococcus casei LMG 22410 genome assembly, contig: Scaffold48
UGCGUCUUUCUUCGGGGCGGAGCUCGACCGCCAACACAAGAUGUAGUUCGAUUCAUCAACCAGAACAAGAAUGAUGUGGUUGCUGGUCGCAGGCUCGGGGUCGAGCGCAUCUGCAAAGUAUUGCAGGUGGCCCCG